rnacentral:lncRNA from 1 species
CGCAACAAGGAAUCUCUAAUCCUCGAUAAGAGAGGAAGAAUACUCUAAGAUAUGAUUCGGGAAUCUUCGGCUGAAGUAUCGAGCGUAAUAAAGGAAAGCGUUCCUAUACGACUCAAUUGAAUCAUAUAAGAAGGAAUAAUCACAUUAGGGGUUUGACAUAAUAUAUCCAUGCCCUAAUGAUGUGAUUGAGAGUAUUGUUUUAGAGAAGGAUCGAAUUAGAUUGUAAUUCCAACUGAAUAGGUUCUUCGAAUAAACUUCUACAUUAGCUUGGGUAGCUAUGACAUAUGG